AGGAAGAUGGGCACGGAUGUUAGCUCAGGGCCAGGCUUUCUCAGCGAAAAAGAGGAGGACUGGCAGUAGUUAGCUCAGGGCUAAUCUUCCUCAAAAAAAAAAAAGAUUACUAUUCUAAAUAGAUACUACAAAUGAUUAUGACCUCUUGAUUUUGUGUUACUGUGUAAAUAGCAACAAUGAUAAAUUUACGUUAGUUCCAAUAAUUUGGCUUUAGAUUUUCUUGGAAGUAAUGAUAAAUUUUUACUCAGUGUAAUAAUUUGACUCUCGUUUCUUUGGCUUUUCUUUGUAGAUAAUCAAGUCAUUACAAAUAACAAUGUAGUUUUCAUUUUCUUUUAUAUAGCUUUUAAUUAAAUUAAUUCCUGAAAAAGAUUCUUCCAAUUAAUUUUAAUAUCCUGAUUACUUUAUUUGAUAUAUGUAUUUAAAGAUAUGUUCCUUAAGUAAGUUAUAAAGUACAUGAAAAUAAAAUAUAAAUUUUUGUUUUUAGGAAAAUUCCCGAAUUGUGAGGGUGAAAGUUAUAGCUGGGAUAGGCCUUGCCAAGAAGGAUAUCUUGGGAUCUAGUGAUCCCUAUGUGAGAGUGACGUUAUAUGACCCAAUGAGUGGAAUUUUUACAAGUGUGCAAACGAAAACCAUCAAAAAGACUUUGAAUCCAAAAUGGAAUGAAGAAAUAUUAUUCAGAGUAAGUAUGCAUUUUAUUUCAUUAAAACUGCAAAAAUAAUUUUUUUUAUCAAUAGGUUAGAAUUAAAAGUUCUCACAUAAUAUUCUAAAAUGUAACUUAUAAGAAUUUGCCUAGAUUUUUAAAACUUUAGAAAGAGUUAAGUCCAGGUAUCCCUGUGGUGACAUGGUCCUGGAACCAUUUAUCUUAUGAAAAACAUAAAGGUAAGGUAAUGAAGAGCUAAAACCUGGAAUUAUUCUAGUACGCAAAACUGAUUUAAAGACUGUAUAAUAGUCUUAAUCCAAUUUAUCAGAUUUU
rnacentral:lncRNA from 1 species